rfam:Canis lupus familiaris chromosome X, whole genome shotgun sequence.
AGGAACAAUCGCUGUGGCGGCGGCCAGCUCUGGAGCCCUGGAUUCAGCCCCUGCAGUAACCCCGGAGCUCUCCGUCUGCAGGGCCUGGAGGAUCCCUGGCGGG